rnacentral:rRNA from 1 species
UACGGAGGGUGCGAGCGUUGUCCGAAGUUACUGGGCGUAAAGGGCGCGUAGGCGGCGCGGUAAGUCACUUGUGAAAUCUCUGAGCUUAACUCAGAACGGCCAAGUGAUACUGCAGUGCUAGAGUGUGGAAGGGGCAAUCGGAAUUCUUGGUGUAGCGGUGAAAUGCGUAGAUAUCAAGAGGAACACCUGAGGUGAAGACGGGUUGCUGGGCCAACACUGACGCUGAUGCGCGAAAGCCAGGGGAGCAAACGGG